AGAUUGAACGCUGGCGGCAUGCCUAACACAUGCAAGUCGAACGGGAGUAGCAAUACUCUAGUGGCGGACGGGUGAGGAAUACGUAGGAAUUUGCCCUUAAGUGGGGGAUAACCCGGGGAAACCCGGAUUAAUACCGCAUGACCUCGAAAGAGCAAAGUGGGGGAUCGCAAGACCUCACGCUUUUGGAGAAGCCUACGUCGGAUUAGCUAGUUGGUGAGGUAAUGGCUCACCAAGGCGACGAUCCGUAACUGGUCUGAGAGGAUGAUCAGUCACACCGGAACUGAGACACGGUCCGGACUCCUACGGGAGGCAGCAGUGGGGAAUAUUGGACAAUGGGCGCAAGCCUGAUCCAGCCAAUCGCCG
rnacentral:rRNA from 1 species